CAGUCGCCGCGGGAAUACGUAGGGUGCGAGCGUUAAUCGGAAUUACUGGGCGUAAAGCGUGCGCAGGCGGUUGUGUAAGACAGGUGUGAAAUCCCCGGGCUUAACCUGGGAACUGCGCUUGUGACUGCACAGCUAGAGUAUGGCAGAGGGGGGUGGAAUUCCACGUGUAGCAGUGAAAUGCGUAGAGAUGUGGAGGAACACCGAUGGCGAAGGCAGCCCCCUGGGCCAAUACUGACGCUCAUGCACGAAAGCGUGGGGAGCAAACAGGAUUAGAUACCCGAGUAGUCCCUGUCUCUUAUAA
rnacentral:rRNA from 1 species